GCAUCUUGGCAAGAGACUUGAAGAUAUUUAAAAUCCCUAAUUAAAGCCAGGCUCACAAGAUUAGGCUCACAAGUCCCUGCUCCAGGCUAGAGCAGCCAGUGGAAGCACCAACACCAGUAUCAAAGAGAUGAUGGAGUCAAAAUGACUGCUUUGGUUGGAGCUGGAUUUUUCUCUGAAGUCUGUAGAAGCUUGUUACCAUGUUAAAUGCCCAGCUUUCAUUAAAUCCACACCUGAAGGAUGAACCUGUCCUGAAGAAACAUAGAAGGAAUAUUUGCCAACUGCAAUAGGAAAUCUCUAAAAGCUCAGAUGUAUAUGUUUACUAUGAAUUGAACUCACAGCUCUGAAGCAGUACUGUGUGUUUAGUCUGUUUACUCCCCAAAGUAGUUGUAGAAUUAUCUGUGCAUUUUCCACAUUGUUUUCAGUGUGCUGCUUUGUUUGAUGGUGGUUUAUUAAUGAUACUUGUGAUUUAUUACUGUCACUUUAUUAGAUUAUUUGCAAAUGGGUGACAAAGCACUAUGUGGAUCAUGCCUUGUUAGUCAUAAAAGCACUCAAGAAGCCAUGAAAAUCAGUUAAGGUUGAACCUAUUGAAUGAAAGAGCAUAGUGCUCUCUAUUGAUCAGUAGCCUUUAGAUAUGUAAUGAAUAGUAGUACUUUUGUAGCACUGUCAGAUAGUGUUUUCCUUUGCAUCUGAUAAAUUACACUCUUUUGUACUAGUGCUUUGAGAUUUGGCAUAAAACAUUCUUGUACUAGUAUUUCUUUCAGAUCUAGUACUUGGGUGAUCUUUCAUGACCAAGGCAGAUAAAUGUUACAAGAAAAACUGAUAUUUGCUCUCCCAACACAGUUUUGACCAUUGAGUUAACACUGAUCUGACUUUCAUAUGUGGCAGGAGAUUGAGGGCUUGAUUGCAAAUGGUUUGUAGAAUAUUUUCAUAGCCUAUGUGCAUGAUACAUGCAAUCUCUCUCAUAGGAAUACACAUGUGCACAUUUGGAUUUUCACUAAUUUCUUUGUAAAUACAGAUUUGUUUCUGAAUUUCUUAUUGAACAGGCAAAUAUAUAAGAAUAAUUUUGCAUUUGUCAUUGGUUUGAACUGUACUGUGCUUCUAUUACAAUAUCAGUACUUGAUUUCCUCCUUUCUUUGCAGCUUGUAGAGUCCUUUACAUAAAACCAGAGUUGGGUUGUAGGUAAAAUGUUACUUUUUAAUUGGAUGAAGUUAUAGGCAGAGUUUUUGGUGCAGCAGGCCCCAGGUUUUACAUCUGUGUCAUUCUCUGAAGAAUAUCCCUAUUAAUACUAAAAUCAGAUGCUUUGGGGUUGUUCACUAGGAUAUUCCUCUGGAUUAGAGACACUUUUCCCUUCCAACCACUCCUCUCCCUUGUAAGAAAAAAUAAUCAGAAGAAUGAGCCCAGUAGCCUAUUUUGUUAACAGAACUAGAGACAGUAAAUUUUCAGCAGCCUUUUUCUUUUUUUUUCCUGUUUUCUAAUGCUCCUUCAGCUUCCUUCAGUGUUUGCUCAGGUUAUUGGUGUUUGAAUUAAUUCAUCUCAAAUGAGCCUGAUUUAGUAGCCAAAAUCUGUGGGGACUGAUUGGCAGCACAAAAGAACAGUGACAGUAGUUUGAACAUCAGCAGUGCCCUGGUGUGGAAAAUAAGGAAAAGUUCCACUGAACUCAAUAUAAGAUUUCUUAGCUGUGUUUGCAGCUACAGGCAAAAUGCCUGUCACACUUCCAUCUAACACUGAAAGGAGAAGCAGUGUUUGGUAAAAUCUUUGUCCUGGUGUUUUUCACCUUUCAUGCACAAAAGGAUUCAGUUCUCUACUCCUCCUAAAGACAACAGCUGUGAAGGCUGAGAACUGAAUUUAAAAAAAUACAAAUAUCAGUAGAAAUACAGUAAACACAGUUUUCUCUGACUGGAAAGGUUUGGGUAUGAGGAAAAGGAACCUUUUAUGGGUCUUUACUUGUUACUAUUUUUCAGUCUCUCUGGAACAUCUGCUUUGUGACUGACUCUGAAGACUCCAGUUGUAACAGUUCUCUUCCAGCCAAACACCUCAGUGGGUUAACCAGCAGUGACAAUUUUUGCACACAAAUAAAAACUGUUUG